AUUGAACGCUAGCGGGAUGCUUUACACAUGCAAGUCGAACGAGUGGCGGACGGGUGAGUAAUAUAUCGGACCGUGCCCAGUAGCGGGGGAUAACUACCCGAAAGAGUGGCUAAUACCGCAUACUUUUGGCGCGGCCGAUAUCGGUUUAGCUAGUUGGUGGGGUAAAGGCUUCCCAAGGUAACGAUCCGUAGCUGGUUUGCGAGGACGACCAGCCACACUGGGACUGAGACACGGCCCAGACUCCUACGGGAGGCAGCAGUGGGGAAUUGUGGACAAUGGGGGAAACCCUGAUCCAGCCAUACCGCGUGUAUGAGAAGGCCUUCGGGUUGUAAAGUACGUUUGGCUGAGAAGCGGGAUCUGCAGAAUAAGCACCGGCUAACUACGUGCCAGCAGCCGCGGUAAUUC
rnacentral:rRNA from 1 species